GAGCUGGGUUAAUGUGCCCCUCACCUUUACAAGGUUUUCGCCGGAAAAAUGUCGUCGUCUACGGAAAAAUCCAGUAACGACUACGAGGUCGGGCACCGAGCCGAGUUGGAAGGAAAAGGCGCUUCAUCUGCGGGUGGCAGCACGGAGGAAGCUACGGAAGCUACGAAAACCCUAAUCGAAAUGCAAAAGGAGGCAUUACAAUGGCGAGACCAGAAAAGGAGGACGACAAUGGCUGGUCGUACCAACGAACCCCCC